GGGUAGAACUCGAUCCAGUCGCAUCGCAAUGAUGGGCACAGAGGUCCGUCACGCCGGCAACGGACCUCGCUGGCAGUCUAGCUGCCCGGCCUCGCCGUGAGGCCAUUGGGAACCAAGUCAA
rnacentral:ncRNA from 1 species